GAUGAAGAACGUAGCGAAAUGCGAUAAGUAAUGUGAAUUGCAGAAUUCAGUGAAUCAUCGAAUCUUUGAACGCACAUUGCGCCCGCCAGUAUUCUGGCGGGCAUGCCUGUUCGAGCGUCAUUUCAACCAUCAAGCCCCAGGCUUGUGUUGGGGACCUGCGGCUGCCGCAGGCCCUGAAAACCCGUGGCGGGCUCGCUGUCACACCGGGCGUAGUAGAUUUUAUCUCGCUCAGGGCGUGCUGCGGGUUCCGGCCGUUAAAAAGCCUUUUUUACCCAAGGUUGACCUCGGAUCAGGUAGGAAGACCCGCUGAACUUAAGCAUAUCAAUAAGCGGAGGA
rnacentral:misc_RNA from 1 species